UUACGCCCAUAUCAUAUUGAAACACCGGUUCCCGUACGAUCACCGAAGUUAAGCAACGUCGUGCCUGGUCAGUACAGAGAUAGGUUACCGCUUGGGAAUACCAAGUGCUGUCAG